GUAAGCCGAUGAAGGUGUGUUGAGAAGCAUGCUGGAGGUAUCAGAAGUGCGAAUGCUGACGUGAGUAACGACAAACGGUGAAAACCGUUCGCCGAAAGACCAAGGGUUCCAGUCCAACGGUUAAUCGGGGGCUGGGUGAGUCGACCCCUAAGGCGAGGCCGAAAGGCGUAGUCGAUGGGAAAAUGGUUAAUAUUCCAUUACUUCUGUGUAAUGCGAUGAGAGGACGGAGAAGGCUAAAUCAGCCUGGCGUUGGUUGUCCAGGUGAAAGGAUGUAGGCAUGUAUCUUAGGCAAAUCCGGGGUACUCUAUGCUGAGAUCUGAUAGCAAGCUGUACUUGUACAGCGAAGUGGUUGAUGCCAUGCUUCCAGGAAAAGUCUCUAAGCUUCAGUUACACAGGAAUCGUACCCGAAACCGACACAGGUGGUCAGGUCGAGUAGACCAAGGCGCUUGAGAGAACUCUGCUGAAGGAACUAGGCAAAAUGGUACCGUAACUUCGGGAGAAGGUACGCUGUUGUUGGUGAUGGAACUCGCUUCCUGAGCUGACGACAGCCGCAGAAACCAGGCCGCUGCAACUGUUUAUUAAAAACAUAGCACUCUGCAAACACGAAAGUGGACGUAUAGGGUGUGAUGCCUGCCCGGUGCUGGAAGGUUAAUUGAUGGGGUUAGCGUAAGCGAAGCUCUUGAUCGAAGCCCCAGUAAACGGCGGCCGUAACUAUAACGGUCCUAAGGUAGCGAAAUUCCUUGUCGGGUAAGUUCCGACCUGCACGAAUGGCAUAAUGAUGGCGGCGCUGUCUCCAGCAGAGGCUCAGUGAAAUCGAAAUCGCUGUGAAGAUGCAGUGUACCCGCGGCUAGACGGAAAGACCCCGUGAACCUUUACUGCAGCUUGACACUGAACUUUGACCUUACUUGUGUAGGAUAGGUGGGAGGCUUUGAAGCUGGAACGCUAGUUCCAGUGGAGCCGUCCUUGAAAUACCACCCUGGUAAUGUUGAGGUUCUAACUCUGUCCCGUGAUCCGGGACGAGGACCGUGUCUGGUGGGUAGUUUGACUGGGGCGGUCUCCUCCUAAAGAGUAACGGAGGAGUACGAAGGUGCGCUCAGCGUGGUCGGAAAUCACGCGUAGAGUAUAAAGGCAAAAGCGCGCUUAACUGCGAGACCCACAAGUCGAGCAGGUACGAAAGUAGGUCUUAGUGAUCCGGUGGUUCUGUAUGGAAGGGCCAUCGCUCAACGGAUAAAAGGUACUCUGGGGAUAACAGGCUGAUACCGCCCAAGAGUUCAUAUCGACGGCGGUGUUUGGCACCUCGAUGUCGGCUCAUCUCAUCCUGGGGCUGAAGCAGGUCCCAAGGGUAUGGCUGUUCGCCAUUUAAAGAGGUACGCGAGCUGGGUUUAGAACGUCGUGAGACAGUUCGGUCCCUAUCUACCGUGGGCGCUGGAAAUUUGAGAGGAUCUGCUCCUAGUACGAGAGGACCAGAGUGGACGAACCUCUGGUGUACCGGUUGUGACGCCAGUCGCAUCGCCGGGUAGCUAUGUUCGGAAGGGAUAACCGCUGAAAGCAUCUAAGCGGGAAGCCUACCUCAAGAUAAGAUUUCCCUAGGACUUUAUGUCCUCUAAAGAGCCGUUCGAGACUAGGACGUUGAUAGGUUGGAUGUGGAAGCAUAGUGAUAUGUGAAGCUGACCAAUACUAAUUGCUCGUGAGGCUUGACUAU
rnacentral:rRNA from 1 species